rnacentral:rRNA from 1 species
UACGAAGGGGGCUAGCGUUGCUCGGAAUCACUGGGCGUAAAGCGCACGUAGGCGGCUUCUUAAGUCAGGGGUGAAAUCCUGGAGCUCAACUCCAGAACUGCCUCUGAUACUGAGGAGCUCGAGUCCGGGAGAGGUGAGUGGAACUCCGAGUGUAGAGGUGAAAUUCGUAGAUAUUCGGAAGAACACCAGUGGCGAAGGCGGCUCACUGGUCCGGUACUGACGCUGAGGUGCGAAAGCGUGGGGAGCAAACAGG